rnacentral:rRNA from 1 species
AACGAACGCUGGCGGCAUGCCUAACACAUGCAAGUCGAACGAGACCUUCGGGUCUCGUGGCGCACGUGUGCGUACCGCGGGGGAACCUGCCCUUGGGUUCGGAAUAACUUCCCGAAAGGAGUGCUAAUACCGGCUGAUGUCCUCGGUCUAAAGAUUUAUCGCCUUUGGAUGGGCCCGCGUUGGUUUAGCUAGUUGGUAGGGUAAAAGCCUACCAAGGCGCCGAUCCAUAGCUGGUCUGAGAGGAUGAGCAGCGACACUGGGACUGAGACACGGCCCAGACUCCGACGGGAGGCAGCAGUGGGGAAUAUUGGACAAGGGGCGAAAGCUGGAUCCAGCAAGGCCGCGGGAGUGAUGAAGGCCUUAGGGUUGUAAAGCUCUUUUACCCGGGAGGAUAAUGACAGUACCGGGAGAAUAAGCACCGGCUAACUCCGUG